UACGUAGGGGGCAAGCGUUAUCCGGAUUUACUGGGUGUAAAGGGAGCGUAGGCGGCUCGAUAAGUCUGAUGUGAAAGCCCGGGGCUCAACCCCGGGACUGCAUUGGAAACUAUCGAGCUAGAGUGUGGGAGAGGUAAGUGGAAUUCCUAGUGUAGCGGUGAAAUGCGUAGAUAUUAGGAGGAACACCAGUGGCGAAGGCGGCUUACUGGACCAUAACUGACGCUGAGGCUCGAAAGCGUGGGGAGCAAACAGG
rnacentral:rRNA from 1 species